rnacentral:rRNA from 1 species
GUCUAUGGCCAUGCCACCCUGAACAAGCCCGAUCCCGUCUGAUCUCAGAAGCUAAGCAGGGUCGGGCCUGGUUAGUACUUGGAUGGGAGACCAUCUAGGAAGACCAGGUGCUGUAGGUG